AUGCAAGUCGAGGGGUAACAUUGUAGCUUGCUACAGAUGACGACCGGCGCACGGGUGAGUAACGCGUAUGCAACCUGCCUUUGACAGGGGGAUAGCCCGGAGAAAUCCGGAUUAAUAUCCCAUGGUAUUUACGAAUCGCAUGGUUUGUAAAUUAAAGAUUUUAUCGGUCAAAGAUGGGCAUGCGUGACAUUAGCUAGUUGGUAAGGUAACGGCUUACCAAGGCUGCGAUGUCUAGGGGUUCUGAGAGGAUGAUCCCCCACACUGGUACUGAGACACGGACCAGACUCCUACGGGAGGCAGCAGUGAGGAAUAUUGGUCAAUGGGCGCAAGCCUGAACCAGCCAUCCCGCGUGAAGGAAGACUGCCCUAUGGGUUGUAAACUUCUUUUCUGCACCAAGAAUGGUUGCUACGUGUAGCGAUUUGACGGUAGUGCAGGAAUAAGCAUCGGCUAACUCCGUGCCAGCAGCCGCGGUAAUACGGAGGAUGCAAGCGUUAUCCGGAUUCAUUGGGUUUAAAGGGUACGUAGGUGGCCAAUUAAGUCAGUGGUGAAAUCCUGCCGCUUAACGGUAGAACUGCCAUUGAAACUGGUUGGCUUGAGUACAGUUGGGGUAGGCGGAAUGUGUAAUGUAGCCGUGAAAUGCUUA
rnacentral:rRNA from 1 species